rnacentral:lncRNA from 1 species
UCAUUAUUUGAAACCGGAAGUGGCUUGGAGUAACAGCAGCAUUUUUUAUGAGGUAAGGAAGUACAGUAUAAACUUGCAAAACCAGUGCACCAUAGUAUGAGCCGAGACUCGCAAAAAUCGUCCCAUCUUUAAGGGGCUCCAAAGUGUGAGAACAGGUGUGUACACACAGAGGCUACAUGUCAGGAAUUAGGGGCUGCAUCUCAGGCAAUAGAGAGUCCAGUUCUGAAGGAGAGGGAUCUUCUGAGAGUGGCUAAGAGGUUAGGACGUGAUUGGUGGCAAGUGGCUAUUUAUUUUGGAGUUGAUACAACUGAACUGAAAAUUGAUGAUGAGUCUAUUGACACUGUAAAACAUGGCUACCUGAUUCUUUACAAAUGGUUCAAAAAUUGCGACCCAGAAACACGGACACACGCAACAUUACGUGCAGCUCUUGAAGAAGCUGAAAGUUUCGCUGCGAUGGAAUGUCUGUCAUUAGACGCAAAGUGAAUUUCUGUGUAACUGUUGUUGUUUAGCCUCAGAUUAACCUUGACCAAACAGAGACUUAUGAUCAAACGCUUUCCAGCCAGGACCAUCAUGCCUAUUUCCAAAGAGAACCCACAACCACAUUGUCCAAUAUGCCCUUCUGUACAGUGAUAUCGUGUGAAUUUAGCUACUAAUUCUAGCAGGUAUAUCAACCACAUAGUGAUCCCUUCACUGGUUUGGCUCCUUUGUUAAAAAUUCACAUUUAAAAUAAAGACAAACUUUGAAAUGUUCA